GGUAGUGUAGUUAAUAGCUGCAUUAUUUGACGUUUAGCGACAGAAGAAGCACCGGCUAACUCCGUGCCAGCAGCCGCGGUAAUACGGAGGGUGCGAGCGUUAAUCGGAAUUACUGGGCGUAAAGCGCAUGCAGGUGGUUUGUUAAGUUCAGAUGUGAAAGACCCGGGGCGUCAACCUCGGAAUAGCAUUUGAAACUGGCAGACUAGAGUACUGUAGAGGGGGGUAGGAAUUUCAGGUGUAGCGGUGAAAUGCGUAGAGAUCUGAAGGAAUACCGGUGGCGAAGGCGGCCCCCUCGGACAGAUACUGACACUCAGAUGCGAAAGCGUGGGGAGCAAACAGGAUUAGAUACCCUGGUAG
rnacentral:rRNA from 1 species